CGGCCUUUAGGUCUCGUUGGUGACCAGCGGAGGGAUCAUUACAGAGUUGCAAAACUCCCACAAACCAUCGCGAAUCUUACCCGUACGGUUGCCUCGGCGCUGGCGGUCCGGAAAGGCCUUCGGGCCCUCCCGGAUCCUCGGGUCUCCCGCUCGCGGGAGGCUGCCCGCCGGAGUGCCGAAACUAAACUCUUGAUAUUUUAUGUCUCUCUGAGUAAACUUUUAAAUAAGUCAAAACUUUCAACAACGGAUCUCUUGGUUCUGGCAUCGAUGAAGAACGCAGCGAAAUGCGAUAAGUAAUGUGAAUUGCAGAAUUCAGUGAAUCAUCGAAUCUUUGAACGCACAUUGCGCUCGCCAGUAUUCUGGCGAGCAUGCCUGUUCGAGCGUCAUUUCAACCAUCAAGCUCUGCUUGCGUUGGGGAUCCGCGGCUGUCCGCGGUCCCUCAAAAUCAGUGGCGGGCUCGCUAGUCACACCGAGCGUAGUAACUCUACAUCGCUAUGGUCGUGCGGCGGGUGCUUGCCGUAAAACCCCCCAUUUCUAAGGUUGACCUCGGAUCAGGUAGGAAUACCCGCUGAACUUAAGCAUAUCAAUAAGCCGGAGGAA
rnacentral:rRNA from 1 species